rnacentral:rRNA from 1 species
UACGAAGGGGGCUAGCGUUGUUCGGAUUUACUGGGCGUAAAGCGCACGUAGGCGGAUCGAUCAGUCAGGGGUGAAAUCCCAGAGCUCAACUCUGGAACUGCCUUUGAUACUGUCGAUCUGGAGUAUGGAAGAGGUGAGUGGAAUUCCGAGUGUAGAGGUGAAAUUCGUAGAUAUCGGGAGGAACACCAGUGGCGAAGGCGGCGAUCUGGGUCGAUACUGACGCUGAGGUGCGAAAGCGUGGGGAGCAAACAGG